rnacentral:tRNA from 2 species
UGCCCCGUAGCUCAAUGGCAGAGCAAGCGGCUGUUAACCGCAAGGUUACGGGUUCGACUCCUGUCGGGGCAGCCA